rnacentral:misc_RNA from 1 species
GAUGAAGAACGCAGCGAAAUGCGAUAAGUAAUGUGAAUUGCAGAAUUCAGUGAAUCAUCGAAUCUUUGAACGCACAUUGCGCCCGCCAGUAUUCUGGCGGGCAUGCCUGUUCGAGCGUCAUUUCAACCAUCAAGCCCCCGGCUUGUGUUGGGGACCUGCGGCUGCCGCAGGCCCUGAAAACCAGUGGCGGGCUCGCUAGUCACUCCGAGCGUAGUAAUACAUCUCGCUCAGGGCGUGCUGCGGGUUCCGGCCGUUAAAAAGCCUUAUUUACCCAAGGUUGACCUCGGAUCAGGUAGGAAGACCCGCUGAACUUAAGCAUAUCUAAGCGGAGGA